rnacentral:rRNA from 1 species
UGCAGUCGAACGGUGAGAGGAGCUUGCUCCUUGGAUCAGUGGCGAACGGGUGAGUAACACGUGAGCAAUCUGCCCUUGACUCUGGGAUAACUGCGGGAAACUGUAGCUAAUACCGGAUAUUACCUUGGAAGGCAUCUUCUGGGGUGGAAAGAAUUUUGGUCAAGGAUGAGCUCGCGGCCUAUCAGCUAGUUGGUGAGGUAAUGGCUCACCAAGGCGACGACGGGUAGCCGGCCUGAGAGGGUGACCGGCCACACUGGGACUGAGACACGGCCCAGACUCCUACGGGAGGCAGCAGUGGGGAAUAUUGCACAAUGGGCGCAAGCCUGAUGCAGCAACGCCGCGUGAGGGACGAAGGCCUUCGGGUUGUAAACCUCUUUUAGUAGGGAAGAAGCGACUGGGUUUUCCUGGGAGUGACGGUACCUGCAGAAAAAGCACCGGCUAACUACGUGCCAGCAGCCGCGGUAAUACGUAGGGUGCAAGCGUUGUCCGGAAUUAUUGGGCGUAAAGAGCUCGUAGGCGGUUUGUCGCGUCUGCUGUGAAAACCCGAGGCUCAACCUCGGGCCUGCAGUGGGUACGGGCA